rnacentral:pre_miRNA from 1 species
CUCGGGGGUGGGGGAUCCCUCAGGCAGGAUUGCAAGAGGGCAUAGGCCAGGCCGAGGGAACCCACCAGUGCAUG